rnacentral:rRNA from 1 species
AUUGAACGCUGGCGGCAUGCCUUACACAUGCAAGUCGAACGGUAACAGCACUUCGGUGGCUGACGAGUGGCGAACGGGUGAGUAAUACAUCGGAACGUGCCCGAGAGUGGGGGAUAACGCAGCGAAAGCUGUGCUAAUACCGCAUACGAUCUACGGAUGAAAGCAGGGGAUUCGCAAGGACCUUGCGCUCAUGGAGCGGCCGAUGGCAGAUUAGGUAGUUGGUGGGAUAAAAGCUUACCAAGCCGACGAUCUGUAGCUGGUCUGAGAGGACGACCAGCCACACUGGGACUGAGACACGGCCCAGACUCCUACGGGAGGCAGCAGUGGGGAAUUUUGGACAAUGGGGGAAACCCUGAUCCAGCCAUGCCGCGUGCAGGAUGAAGGCCUGG